AGAAGUCUCUCUGGUACAGCGCCAGGUCGGGGGGAGAAGGGAAGACGCAGAAGAAACGCGAGAACAAACUAUGCAGCAACCAAAGCUUUCGGUGCACGAAGUGGAGAAGAGCCCACACUGCCCGAGCCCCUGAGGCAGGAGCGAGCCCCCGGGAAACGACGGGCUGAGGGGGAGGGGGGACGACACCUGCCUGACAGGGCUGGGCUGGCACCCGGACCUCGGAACUCCAGAAAAAGGCCGAGGGAAGGCCUCGGUGCGGGCCCGCUGCCGCCCCACGGCCACAGCGCUGCCGGAGCGGGACUCGCCGCACCCCACAGCCGGACGGGCCCUCCCCAGCGCGGGGCGGGCGUCUCCGCGGGGCGAAGGGGGGCUGAGGGAAACGGCCGCGCAUCGCCGGGUCCGCCGGCAGCCGGCACCGCCCGCUCGCCCCCGCCGCGAUCGCGGAGCUCGGCGGCCGGCGACAGGCCCGGGCCGGGGCGGCAGGCCCGAGGCGGGGAGAAGACACGGCUCGACGAAGCGCUGCUAGCCGCGCGGAGCCGACGGGAGCAGCCGACGAGCAGCAGCCGCUGCCCGCGGGUGAGAGCGACCCCGGUCCAACCGCCCGCCCGCCCGCUUACCUCGCGCCAGGGCAGAGGACGUGCGGCGGCGCUGAGCCGCCCUCCGCGCCGGGCUGCCAGCUGCGGGCUCGGGGCGGGGGGAGGAGGGGCGGGCCGGAGCGGGGGGGAGGGGGGCGGAGCGCGGCGCGGCUCACAUCCGGGUACUGCCGCGGGGAGGAGGUGCGCGUGCGCAGUAGGGCGCCUCCCUGAGAGAAGUCAGGCUUCGGCCUCGAGUGGUGGUGGUGUUUGCUGCGCGGCUGGGAGCGGUGUUGAGGCGGGUGCUUCUUUCACGCUGUCCUCUGGGAUGAAGCGCCUGCCCCAGCGAGGGGGAAAACUGGGCUUAUUCGUUGACUGGUGGUGGAAUGACUGCAUGCAUAGAAUCAUUAAAGGUUGGAAAAGACAGCUAAGAUCAUCUAGUUCAGCCAUUAGCCCACCUCCACCAUGCCCACUAACCAUGUCCCUCAGUGCCACAUCCACAUGGUUCUUGAACGCCUCUAGGGAUGGUGACUCCACCACCUCCUUGGGCAGCCUGUGCCAGUGCCCAGUCUCUCUUUCUGAGAAGUUUCUCCUAAUAUUCAACCUGAACCUCCCCUGGUGCAACAGGAUACCACCACUUCUUGUCCCAUCGCUGUUACCUGACCACAUUUGGCAGCAAGAUGCUGGCAGCUGGACAAGUUCUGUGCUGCGCUUCACAGAUCAUUUUAUAGCAUAA
rnacentral:lncRNA from 1 species